GUAGCUUUAUGCCGAACGGCUUCCGAUGGCGCAGAGGAAGGAUGGAGUCCGUGGCUCGGUUACUGAAUUAUUCCGUUUUUCAGGCCUGAUAAAGAUAGAAGUCCAGACAUGGGAAUGUGUGUUUGACAGCCUGCUGCAGAGUCACAUCGCGCCCCGAGAGGCUUGACAUUCAACUUGUGUUGUCACCCAACAGUCUCACAAACAGACACACAUUUUUACUUCUAUCUUUAUGAGAACAGCCAUCAAGCAGCGCUCACGGUGCCAAGGUGGCGCAGCAGCUCCGCUACGUAAGUUUCCUUUAUUUACCUCUUUGUUUGAGGCUAAUUUGAGCUAGCAUACUAGCUAGCCAGCAUGUCAGAUAGAAUAAAGCCUUAACUGGCUUAGAUUAGCUCAUUAAGAUCCCACUUUCAUUAUUAUUUAGUAAUUUGCUAAAUUUUUUGUAUUUUUAUUUUUUACCUCUCUUUUGUGUCUCUACUGUUCCUUAUAUGACAGGAAAGGGGGGAAGACAUGCGGCAAAUAUGGCUGUGUCCAGGAAUCGAACCUGCGACGGCCUCCAAACUUGGGUCACGCUGUCCUUUACGACUCCACAGUAAUUUGCUAUUUUUAAAACAAAUUUUUACAUUUUGUUCUAUUUGCAGCUUUGGAGUCUAAAAAGUGUGAAGCUACAUGAAAGUAGCCUGUUAAGUAAAACUUAAAGUUUCUGGCUGAAAUCAAAUUGUUCUUGUGUAAAAAUCAGAAACAUUUUAGCAAAUGUUGAUUAUUACAUGUCCUUUAGUGUUGCUAUACAGAUUUACUCAUUUUCUCAUUAUUACUGUUUGGCUGGAGUAAGAGUUAAUUAUAUAUUGUCAAAUAGCGUGAAAAAAAUGGCUGAUUAUGUUUCACUCAUUUUGAAUGUAAGGAUGAGUGACAGGAACCAGCUUUACUCCGACCAGGACGACAGGCAAACAGCAGCGUUUAUCUAAAAUAAAUGUCAGAAAUGGAAUCUGGAAGCAUACAAAAGACGAGCAUUUCACGGAUCACUGAGCUCUUUAUGCAGUUCCUCUGACAGGAAGGGAAAUCAGGAGCUUGAACCUGGAUAUUAAAGUAAAGCUGAGCUAAAGCUAUGCUAACAAACAUCGAGAGUGUGGGAAGCUUCUUACCACGAGGAGGAUCGAUCUGCAAUUAGAGCGUUGUUAAGCGCACUAUUCGCAUUAAUAUGCGGCUGUUAUACAGAAAAUGGAAAUAAAUCACAAGAAAUAAGCCUGAUAAAGGGAGAUGAAGCCUGCCUUACCUAGCAUGCAGCGCCAGCUAAUGCCGAGGUCUGAACCAGCAGGAAAACAUCGUGAUGUCAACCAGGUUCCAGUUUGAAGCUCCUCACUCCUUACCUCUGUCUCGGCUGAGAUCUCUGCAGAACCAGACUCCCGUCCAUCCUGUAGUGAUGAACAAAUGGAGCCUCUUUAAACAAGCAGAGCCACUGGUCACCUGCUGGUGUGCAGGCAGCAGCAAGUGGAGCUUCUCCAGCAGAGAUCCUCUUGGAGGAAAGAUCACACACUCGCACAGAAAAACACACAGUUACACAGAUUCUUCCAAUCUGUGGAAAUGUAGAGAACUUGAUCCAGUUCUUUGGAAAUACUGCAAUGACACGAUGGUGUGUAUUUUCUUAAUUCUUUGAAAAAAUACAAUAUAUUCUUUCAUUUCAUUGUCUAAAAAUGUCAGCUAAUUUUUUUGUAAGUAUUCAGAACUUGUUCAGCAAAUAAAACUGGAGGGUGAGCCAGAAAGUGUCGAUUUUGGUGCUGAGGCCUCAGUGAGGCGGCAGCAUGCAAACCUGCAGGUCAGUCAGUUUCUGUCUCAUGGCUGAAGUCAGAGUUUUAUCUUCAUAGAUCAGUUUCUGUUGGAUGAUUUCAUUAAAUCCUGAGAGCUGUUUUAAUGUAUCCCAGGUGCCUCUGUUCUGUUAAUAGAAAAAUAUUUAACCAAUUUCAAAAUGGUAACAGAAUGUUUCUGCAAGUAAGCUGUUAAAUAUAUUGAUUACCCUCAACUAAAUUAUAAAUUAUUGUUUUGUCUGACAUGUAGAUGCCUAAAUACUUCAAUUGUGAAAUAAUUAUUGAUUCAUAUUUAAUAUUUACCUCCCUUGUUAUUUCAGACAGAAUCAAACAUCAAGCAAUUUCCUCUCAGUUCCUGCAAAUGGAGCUGAGAAGCUGCAGCUAAACCACCGUAGUAUAAAGAUCUGAAUACAGCAAUAAAUCUAAUCUGAUUGGGCCCUGAUUGCCAAUCAAAAACCACCAAUUUAAAUGGAAAUGUUUUAGUCCUGAGAUUGAGACUGGAGGUUUCACAUCAUUAUUCUACAUAGAGUUCCUACUUUUCCAUUUGCCAUCAAGACGGGCAACCCAAACCGAGAAAAUGAUCAGAAAAAUGAUGCACUUUAGUUCAGAUGAGUCACAACGGGCUUCACCUCUUUC